GGUUAGUUCAAAUCAAGUGAAUUUUGUUGAAUUUUCAAUGUUGGCAAAAAUUAGCAUUAGCUACCGCUUCUUGUGGAGUUGCAGCAUCAAUAUUACCAGGAGGUAGAACAACACACUCUCGAUUCAAGAUUCCAAUUGAUAUGAAUUCAGUUAACAUGUGUAAAAUUAGUAAACAAAGUGCACUUGCUAAACUAAUUCAAGCGGCUAAACUUAUCAUUUGGGAUGAAGCUCCAAUGGCACACAAAACUGGUAUAGAAGGUGUGGAUACACUACUAAAAGAUUUAAUGGGUUCUUCUGAAUUAUUUGGCUCAAAAAUUAUGGUUUUUGGUGGUGACUUUAGACAAGUUCUCCCUGUUGUCACUAAAGGUUCAAAGGAAGAUUCUGUACAAGCUAGCUUAGUAACUUCAUACAUUUGGCCAUAGCUUCAUAAACUAUACCUCACAGAUAACAUGAGAGCAAUAUCAGAUCCAGAAUUCACAGAUUACCUUCUCCGAAUAGGGAAUGGACUAGAACCAGCAAUACAAGGGUUAAAAGUAAAUAUCCUGUCCCACUAUUGAUACCAUACAAAAGUGAAACAUAAUCAAUUUUUGAACUUAUCAAAACAGUUUACCCAGAUUUAACUGCUUUUUCCAAGGAUGAUUUUUCAUUGGUAAAUCGAGCAAUCCUUACUACAAAAAAUGAAUUUGUUGAUAUGUUAAACAACUUGUUAAUUAACAUUUUUCCAGGUGAGGCUCAAGAAUAUAUUAGUCGUGAUAAAACACUUGACAUUUCAGAACAAGGCCUAUUUGAAGAUUUUCUGAAUAGCUUAACACCCAAUGGUUUUCCCCCCCCCCAUAAUCUUAUUCUAAAACCAAAUUGCCCAAUAAUUCUUCUCAGAAACAUUGAUCCCCCAAAAGGUUUAUGCAAUGGAACAAGACUAAUAUGUAUAUCUUUAACUAACAAUAUUAUUGAUGCAAUUAUAAGUGCUGGAGAAUUCAAAGGCAAACAAGUCUUUUUACAUAGAAUAUCUUUUCGAAUAGAAAAUAAUCCUAAUUGCCCAAUGUCAUUUGAAAGAGUUCAAUUUCCAGUGUGCCUAUGCUUUGCAAUGACAAUUAAUAAGGCUCAAGGUCAAACCUUAGAUUUUGUUGGUAUAUACUUACGUGAACCAGUUUUUUCACAUGCCCAACUAUAUGUUGCUUUAUCAAGAGCAAAAAGCAGCAAUUGUGUAAAGAUUCUUAUACAGCCUUCUCCUUUUGAUCCAACAGUUGACCAUGCUACCAAUAACAUAGUAUACAAACAUAUUUUACAGCUUGCAAAUCAUCACCUUUCAUAAUUAUUGAUUACAAGAUUGUCAGAUUCAUAUUCAUUGCACUUAUUCAUAUUCAUAAUCCACCAGCAAUUCAUGCUUAACUUGCUUGUACUAAAAUACCUAUUAAGAAAAUUCUUGUAUUAAGAUAUAGCAUUAACUAGAACUUAUGCUUCAUUUAUAAUGCAAAUAAUGUUAAAUCUUUCACAAAUACUGCUCCAUUUUUGAGUUAGCUCAUACUUUUACAAAUGUCCCUAGGGAAUAUUCAAAAAACAGAGGUUAGUGUUCAUACAUUUCAUCUGCCCUUAUUACUGAUUCUUGUAGUCAUAUGUUCAGAAAAUUCGUUAUAUAUUAACAUUACUCAUUCUUGUAAUUGUAUGUUCAGAAAAUUGAUUACUAAGUCUUUAUCGUUUUUGCAGUGAAAAUGUAUAUAAAGAUGAGAACUUUGAUGAGACUCAGAGGCAACUACCUACAUUACUGGCCUCAAAGAUUCAAAGAUGCUUUUUUGUUGGAAGUUUUUGUUUUAAAGCCCACUUCUACAGACUGCUCAUCUCCUUCAUUAAUAUUUUAGCAUUCAUUUUAUCAGUUGACCUUCUAUUCAAUGUAUCAGAAGAUUCAGAUUAUGUCCGGACUAUUCUAGCUAAAGCUAUAGACAAACGUCCUGACCUCAAAACUAAGGCUGCUGAGUCAAAUAAAGCAGCAAAGAUAGAUGCAAGAUCAAGUCAUUAUUGAAAGGAUGCUUGAUAAGUACGUAAACUUCUGAAACAUUACAUUAUACUAUACAUUUCAAAAUUUUCUCAUUAUCUCAUUUUUUGACCCCCUGUAGAAUAAGCAUAAAAUACCAAAGAUUGGAUAAGCUUCAGCAAGCACUUACAAGAAGUGACAACAUUCAAGUAACCGUAUACUAUUGUAAUCAUGUCUCUCACAAUUUUGCCAGCUCUAGAGAAUAUCAACGUGAUGUGAUUAUAUCUACUAUCCAAUUCAUUCUUAUAAACCUUAUUCCUAAUUCUAGAAAAUGUUGGUCCAAGUGUAUCAGAUGUCAAAACUUCAGAAAUUCUAACCUCAACUACUUUAAUGCAUAUGUCACCUGAUUAUUUAAGCAUAUGUCAGCUUCUCAUGUUUUUUGAUAGACCACAAGACAUUGCUGCUGUAUUUGAGAAACUCUUAAGAACAAAAAGUAAGAAUGAUGGUUUAUUGGGAUUUCAAAUAGCAUUUGACCUUGUAGAGAAUGAACACCAAGCUUAUCUUUUGAAAAUGAGGGACUAACUUUCCAGUCCCAAGAAAGAUAUUCAGAUAGCAGAGGGUAAUCAAAAUUCUGAAAGAAACUAUUUAUGCUGCGAAGUUACCAGAAAUAAAAGGAAUGCUGUCUCGAGAGACUUCCAUACAGUUGACAUUGCAAUUCUUAUAUAGUUAUAAUAACUAAGGUAUUUUUCCUAUUUUCUUUUUUUUCCUUCUCAAGAUAGUUUCUCAGUUUACUAGAUUUCUUUGGAAUAUUUCACUAAUUGUUACCUUUUUGCAUAUCAGAUUGCAUUUUGUAAUUCUCAACACAAUAAAACAAUCUGUUGAGAUGAGAAAUAAUAUUUGUCAUAAUGCAACUAUACACACUAAUAGCAUUAUGGAUGUUGUCACAACUGUCAACACAUUACUCUGCACCUACUUUCCUCAUUGUUUUAUAUGCUGCAUAACGAUAAAACUUAUUAUUUCUAUCUAACAUUUUGUAUUUGUUUAAACUAUCAGAACUAGCUCACCAGGACUACAAAUUGGACUAAGUUUAGCGCAACAGCAGUACAGGUUAUUAACAGAGACCAUCUACAGCAAGGAAAAUCACUUAUAGGUCCUUGUCACACAGUGGAGCUGGUGGUGGUGGCAGCUCAUAUUCAGAAAUAUAAGCAUUGUCUGCUAUGAGGAAGGCAUGAAUUAGUUCCUCUAUCAUAGUCUAACAAACACUAACGCUGAAGUAUUUGUCUUAUUGCAUUAUGUAAAAAAGUACCUAUUUUUAUCUUUCGACUUUUCCGUCUUUUUUUAAAAAUUGUCUCCUACACGUUAUUCAGCAUAGUACCUACCUUAGCAGUAUUGGAAACUCCUAAUGAAGAUAUUUUUCAUGAUAUAAAAAAUGUCAUGUAAAAAUUUAUUAAAUUAAAAGCUAUAAUAUAUUUCUAGAGUUAAAAGCUGAAUGAAUUCCAUAAUCUAUUUCUAGAAUUAAAAACUUAAUGAAUUCUUUCUCUUUUUGACAGUUUACGGAACAGAAGAAGCACAUUAUCGAUAAAUGUAUGCAUUAGCAUUUGCUUACAAUGAAACUGCAAACAACAAGACAAUUUGAUACCUGCUGCAUUUUGGUGCAUCAGAAUUAAGCAAUGGUGUUAGGUAAACUGCAAUUUUGGCACUUGGUUAGUUUGUCUUAUGUUUAGGCUUAGCACUUGUUUAUGGUUUAUGUUCUGGACUAUAAGAACUUCACAGCAAAGCUUUGCUUGUCCAAACAACUUUUCAUAUGAUGUCUUUGCUCUUAACUUUUUCUACCCUUAUUAGUCAUUCUUGUAGACAUAUGUUCAGAAAAUUCAUUAUAUAUUUACAUUGCUCAUUCUUAUAAUUAUAUGUUCAGAAAAUUAAUUACUAACUGUUUAUCGUUUUGCAACAAGAGUGUAUAUGAACAUGAGAACUUUGAUGAGACUCACAGCCAACUAGCUAUAUUACUAGCCUCAAAGAUUCAAAGAAGCCUUUUUGUUGCAAGUUUUUCUUUUAAAGCCUACUUCUACAGACAACUCAUCUCCUUGAUUAAUAUUUUAGCAUUCAUUUUACCAGGUUAUGUAAAAUCCAUUUGAAGAAUAGGAAGGAUAAUUUUUUUUUGCUUUCGUAUGUGUUCAUUAUUCAUAACAAACCUUUAAGAAAAUAAAUCAUGGCUAGAUAAAUACUGAUUUUGAAGUAUAAAGUGGCACUGGUAUUACAUAAGUUAACUAUGCAUUUCUUUUUAACCAUGCCACACACGUCUUACUUUAUUUUCUACUAUAUCCUUUUAUCUCAGCUAAAGCUAUAGACAAACGUCCUGAUCUCAAGACUAAGGCUGCUGAGACAAAUAAAGCACCAAAAAUUUAUACUAUAAAUUUAAACUUUCUCUCAUUAUCUCAUUUUUGAAACUCCCUCUAGGUAUAUAAUUAACAAAAGAUAUCAAUAACCUGUGAGAAUAGAUAUAAAAUACCAGAGAUUGGAUAAGCUUCAGCAAAUACUUAUACAAACUGACAACAUUCAAGUGACCCUAUACUAUUGUAAUCAUGUCUGUCACAAUCUUGUCAACUCUAGAAAAUAUCAGCGUGAUAUGAUUAUAUCUAUUUAAUUCAUUCUUCUAAACCUUAUUCCUAAUUCUAAAAAAUGUUGGUCCAAGUGUAUCAGAUGUCAAAACUUCAAAAAUUCUAACCUCAACUACUUUAAUGCAUAUGUCACCUCAUUAUUUAAACAUAUGUCAGCUUCUCAUGUUUUUGGAUAGACCACAAGACAUUGCUGCUGUAUUUGAGAAACUCUUAAGAACAAAAAGUAAGAAUGAUGGUUUAUUGGGAUUUCAAAUAGCAUUUGACCUUGUAGAGAAUGAACACCAAGCUUAUCUUUUGAAAAUGAGGGACUAACUGUCCAGUCCCAAGAAAGAUAUUCAGAUAACACAGAGGGUAAUCACAAUUCUGAAGGAAACUAUUUAUGCUACAAAGUUAUCAAAAAUAAAAGGGAUGCUGUCUCGAAGACUUCCAUACAGUUGACAUUGCAAUUCUUAUAUAGUUAUAAUAAGACAUUUUUCCUAUUUUCUUUUCUUUUCUUCCCAAGACGCUUUCCCAGUUUACUAGAUUUCUUUGAAACAUUUGACUAAUUGUUAGCUUUUUGCAUAUUAGAUUGCAUUUCAUAAUUCUCAACACAAUAAAGCAAUCUGUUAAGAUGAGAAAUAAUAUUUUAGUUAGCACAAGAUAAGAUGUGCAUAAUAUUUUAAAACAUGGUUAGUUAGUUCAAAAUAAGAUCUGAGUACGAUCACUCAAUGACAUUUAGUGAAUCAAAUUUGAUUACAAUGAAAAAAAUAUCAAAGACAAAUAGCAAAUAGCAAGCAUUCUCAAUUUCAAAUUUUGUAUGCUCGGUAACUUUUUCACAUGAACAAAGUUCAGUUUUCAGAAUUAAAUCAGAGGCUGUUUCUCCAAAUCCCACAUUAACUACUUUACAUUCCAUAUUUACAAGGGGAAAAUUUUUUUAUUCAAGGGGAAAUUCCAAAACUUACAAGGAGGAAAAGGAAUUGAAACUUACAAGGAGGAAAAGGAAUUGAAACUUACAAGGAGGAAAAGGAAUUGAGAGUCAAGUUAGUUUUCAAAACAUUUGUAAAAUAUGGUGCUUUGUUUAAAAGUUAAAGUUUGAUAUCAAGUUUUUGAUAUCAUAGCACAAUCAUAGGAACGGAUAUCAAGUUUUUGAUGCUCAUAUAUUUCAUUGUAUGAUAAACAACUAUGACAAUAUGGUGCGUUACUGAGAAUACUGAUUCUAUGAUGGAGAGGACUCAAAACAUCUUGUAGUCAUUGAAAAAUAUUAAGUUGUUUAGUGAUGCAUUUUGUGUCAGUUGAUGUUUCUUAGCAUAUAAAGUUUUUUUUGCAUUCGACAAUGUUGCACAAACAUACACUUUUUAAGUACACACCACAUCCAUCCAUAUAUAUAAUUUUAAGUACAAAUUAUACUAUAAUAUGCACUAAAAUAUAUAAUAUAAUACCUACCACAAUAUGUAUGAUUAGGACUAUCAAUAGGUCUAACUGGCAUGAGUUCGGCCUAUUCAACUUGAGAAAAGUAUGAUUGCAUCAGUAAGACUCGAAUUAAACAUGAGUAGAGCCUGGGUGUCAUUUGGCUCAAUCCAGUUAGAAUCUGAUCCAUUAAAGGUUACAUUAAAAGUGUAUGUUUUGUAUGUAAUAAUGUGUAUAUUGUGUUUAUAGUGAGUUUGGGCCAAUUGUGAAAUAGGCCUGAAAUGGACCAGUUCAAACAUGCUACUGUGCACCUACUUUCCUCAUUGUUUUAUAUGCUGCAUAAUGAUAAAAGUAGUUAUCUCUAUCUAACAUUUUGUAUUUGUUUAAACUGUCACAACUAGCUCACCAGAGCUACAAAUUGGACUAAGUUUAGCGCAACAGCACCACAACUUAUUGACAGCGGCCAUCUACAACAACGAAAAUCACUAAUGGCUCCUUGUCACAGAAUGAGGCUGGUGGUGGUGGCAGCCCAUAUUCAGAAACAUAAACAUUGGUAUUUGUCUUAUUGCAUUAUGUAAAGAAGUACUUAUUUUUAUGUUUCCACUUUUCUACUUUUUUUUAAAAAUCAUCUCCUACAGGUUAUUCAGCAUAGUACCUACCUUAGUCUUGGUUUACAUUUUGCUGCAUCAGAAUUAAGCAACGAUGUUAGACAAACAGCAGUUUUGGCAUUUAGUUAGUUUCUCUUACGUUCAGGCUUGGCACUUACUUAUGGUUUAUGUUCUGGACUAUAAAAAUUUGACACCAAACCUUUACUUCUCCAAACAAGUUUUCAUAUUAUGUCUUUGCUCUUAACUUUUUCUAGCCUUCUACAAGAAUCAAUGAAUAUGCACAGAUUCAAUAAUUCAUCUAAUUGAGUUGCUAGCCUUAAAAUACACAUGUUAUUGCUGAAGCCUUUCAACAUCAGAUGUAAUUGAUUUUAUUCAUGAAGAAGCUUUUAUAACAAUGACCUGAGUGAUUCCCCUGUUAAUGCAUUCAGGUAAUUGGAAAAAAUUAUUCUGGUUAAGCAUGAGGAUGCUAUGAACGAGAUGCAUAAAUUGCUUUGAAAGACAAAACAUAACAAAGUAACUGCAGUUGUUGU